rnacentral:rRNA from 1 species
AGCAGCCGCGGUAAUUCCAGCUCCAAUAGCGUAUAUUAAAGUUGUUGCAGUUAAAAAGCUCGUAGUUGAAUUUCGGGGUCAGUAAGUUGGUCGUGCCUACGGUAUGCACUGGCUUUACUGAUUCCUCCUUCUUGAAGAACUGUAAUGCCAUUAGUUUGGUGUUGCAGGGAAUCAGGACUGUUACUUUGAAAAAUUAGAGUGUUUAAAGCAGGCUUACGCUUGAAUACAUUAGCAUGGAAUAAUGAAAUAGGACGUUGAUCCUAUUUUGUUGGUUUCUAGGGUUGACGUAAUGAUUAAUAGGGAUAGUUGGGGGCAUUAGUAUUCAAUUGUCAGAGGUGAAAUUCUUGGAUUU